rnacentral:lncRNA from 1 species
GCUCCGUGACUUAGCCCUGGCCUGUCUGGCCCCUCCCCUCUCUUGCAGUUCUGGGAGGUGAUCUCUGAUGAACAUGCCAUCGACUCCGCUGGCACCUGCCGUGGGGACAGCCGUCUGCAGCUGGAGCGCAUGGAAGUAUACUACAAAGAGGCCUGCGGUAUGUGCCCCGCCCUGUGCUGGUGGAUUUGGAGCCAGGCAUCAUGGACUCUGUGCGCUCAGGGCCCUUCCGGCAGAUCUUCAGACCGGACAACUUCAUCUUCGGGAGCUGAGUUGGGGCUGUGGAUACUGAGUAUCAACAGUAUCAGGAUGCCACCGCCCAGGAGGAGGAGUUUGAGGAGUAUGCUGAGGAGGAGGCCUAGAACUUUCCUUUUCUAGGUAAAGGGGGAAGCAGUGUGGAUUCUUUACUGUGUUCUGACUGCCAUGUGUCACUACGCACUUGUUCGUGUCUUCACCUCUCCUCCUCCUGCAUUUUAAAGCAUUUUUAUAGUAUAUGAUUUUGCCUAAUAAAGUAUCCUCAUAGCAUCUGGUUUCACCUCCACCUUCUUUUUAUGGGCCCUCUGGCUACGGCUGCCAGGUGCGCAUGGUUGUCCUGCAAGGCUGAAGCUGUCUGGGUUUGUCACGUGCCCAGGAACAAGCAUUCCAGUGGCUCCAGGAGGGGUCGGCAUGGGCUGUGGACAUGGCAGGCAGGCUUCACCUGAACUUAGGGAUGCCCUGGGCCUUGGCGGCUACGUGGUG